GAUGAAGAACGCAGCGAAAUGCGACAAGUAAUGUGAAUUGCAGAAUUCCGUGAAUCAUCGAAUCUUUGAACGCACAUUGCGCCCGCCAGUAUUCUGGCGGGCAUGCCUGUCCGAGCGUCAUUUCAACCCUCGAACCCCUCCGGGGGGUCGGCGUUGGGGAUCGGCCCUUUCACCGGGUGCCGGCCCCUAAAUACAGUGGCGGUCUCGCCGCAGCCUCUCAUGCGCAGUAGUUUGCACACUCGCACCGGGAGCGCGGCGCGUCCUCGUCCGUAAAACACCCCAAACUUCUGAAAUGUUGACCUCGGAUCAGGUAGGAAUACCCGCUGAACUUAAGCAUAUCAAUAAGCGGAGGA
rnacentral:misc_RNA from 1 species